AGAGUUUGAUCCUGGCUCAGAACGAACGCUGGCAGCGUGGAUUAGGCAUGCAAGUCGAACGGGAUUGACCUGAUAGCAAUAUUGGGUCAUGAGAGUGGCGAAAGGGCGAGUAAUGCAUGGGCAAUCUAUCCUUGAGUUCGGGAUAACUCAGCGAAAGUUGAGCUAAUACCGGAUGUGGUUACGGCGGGGCAUCCUGCUGUUACUAAAGAUGGGGCUCCUUCGGGACCUGUCGCUCUUGGCGGAGCCCGUGUGCCAUCAGCUUGUUGGUGAGGUAACGGCUCACCAAGGCUUACGGCUAGCUGGUCUGAGAGGGCGAUCAGCCGCACUGGGACUGAGACACUGCCCAGACUCCUACGGGAGGCUGCAGUCGAGGAUCAUUCGCAAUGCGCGAAAGCGUGACGAUGCGACGCUGCGUGGAGGACGACGGCCUUCGGGUUGUAAACUCCUGUCAUGGGGGAAAAAUGUAUUGGAUGUUAACAGCAUCUGGUAUUUGAUGGUACCCCAAGAGGAAGCCACGGCUAACUCUGUGCCAGCAGCCGCGGUAAUACAGAGGUGGCGAGCGUUGUUCGGAUUUACUGGGCGUAAAGGGCGCGUAGGCGGCAUUGUGUGUCGUAUGUGAAAUCCCCGGGCUCAACCCGGGAAGUGCAUGCGAAACUGCAGUGCUAGAGCAGAGGAGGGGAGAGCGGAAUUCAUGGUGUAGCGGUGAAAUGCGUUGAUAUCAUGAGGAACACCCGAGGCGAAGGCGGCUCUCUGGAAUCUUGCUGACGCUCAGGCGCGAAAGCCGGGGGAGCAAACAAGAUUAGAUACCCCUGGUAGUUCCGCCCCCUAAACGGGGCACACCGGGCGUGGGGGGCGUCCCCCCCUCCCCUGCCGGAGCUAACGUGUUAAGUGUGCCGCCUGGGGAGUACGGCCGCAAGGCUAAAACUCAAAGAAAUAGACGGGGGCCCGCACAAGCGGAGGAGCAUGUGGCUUAAUUUGAUGCAACGCGAAGAACCUUACCCGGGUUUGACAUCCAAAGAAUCCUGAUGAAAGUCGGGAGUGCCUUAGGGAGCUUUGAGACAGGUGGUGCAUGGUUGUCGUCAGCUCGUGUCGUGAGAUGUUGGGUUAAGUCCCGCAACGAGCGCAACCCCCGCUAUUAGUUGCUAACAUUCAGUUGAGCACUCUAAUGGGACUGCCCGCGACAAGCGGGAGGAAGGUGGGGAGGACGUCAAAUCAUCAUGCCCUUUAUGAUCUGGGCUACACACGUGCUACAAUGGAUGGUACAGAGAGCAGCGAGACAGUGAUGUGGAGCGAAUCUCAAAAAGCCAUUCUCAGUUCGGAUUGCAGGCUGCAACUCGCCUGCAUGAAGUCGGAAUCGCUAGUAAUCGCGGAUCAGCAUGUCGCGGUGAAAAAGGGCCCGGGCCUUGCACACACCGCCCGU
rnacentral:rRNA from 1 species